GAUGAAGAACGUAGCGAAAUGCGAUAAGUAAUGUGAAUUGCAGAAUUCAGUGAAUCAUCGAAUCUUUGAACGCACAUUGCGCCCCUUGGUAUUCCGAGGGGCAUGCCUGUUCGAGCGUCAUUUCAACCCUCAAGCUCUGCUUGGUAUUGGGCUACGCCAUCGCGGCAGGCCUUAAAAUUAGUGGCGGUGCCGUCUCGGCUCUAAGCGUAGUAACAAUCUCUCGCUCUGGAGACCUGGCGGUGCUUGCCAGACAACCACCAAUUUUUUUUAUGGUUGACCUCGGAUCAGGUAGGGAUACCCGCUGAACUUAAGCAUAUCAAUAAGCGGAGGA
rnacentral:misc_RNA from 1 species